GACGAACGCUGGCGGCGUGCCUAGUACAUGCAAGUAGAACGCUGAAGAGAGGAGCUUGCUCUUCUUGGAUGAGUUGCGAACGGGUGAGUAACGCGUAGGUAACCUGCCUUGUAGCGGGGGAUAACUAUUGGAAACGAUAGCUAAUACCGCAUAACAAUGGAUGACACAUGUCAUUUAUUUGAAAGGGGCAAUUGCUCCACUACAAGAUGGACCUGCGUUGUAUUAGCUAGUAGGUGAGGUAACGGCUCACCUAGGCGACGAUACAUAGCCGACCUGAGAGGGUGAUCGGCCACACUGGGACUGAGACACGGCCCAGACUCCUACGGGAGGCAGCAGUAGGGAAUCUUCGGCAAUGGGGGCAACCCUGACCGAGCAACGCCGCGUGAGUGAAGAAGGUUUUCGGAUCGUAAAGCUCUGUUGUAAGUCAAGAACGAGUGUGAGAGUGGAAAAUUCACACUGUGACGGUAGCUUACCAGAAAGGGACGGCUAACUACGUGCCAGCAGCCGCGGUAAUACGUAGGUCCCGAGCGUUGUCCGGAUUUAUUGGGCGUAAAGCGAGCGCAGGCGGUUUGAUAAGUCUGAAGUUAAAGGCUGUGGCUCAACCAUAGUUCGCUUUGGAAACUGUCAAACUUGAGUGCAGAAGGGGAGAGUGGAAUUCCAUGUGUAGCGGUGAAAUGCGUAGAUAUAUGGAGGAACACCGGUGGCGAAAGCGGCUCUCUGGUCUGUAACUGACGCUGAGGCUCGAAAGCGUGGGGAGCGAACAGG
rnacentral:rRNA from 1 species